rnacentral:misc_RNA from 1 species
CCGAGUUAUACAACUCAUCAACCCUGUGAACAUACCUAUAAACGUUGCCUCGGCGGGAACAGACGGCCCCGUAACACGGGCCGCCCCCGCCAGAGGACCCCCUAACUCUGUUUCUAUAAUGUUUCUUCUGAGUAAACAAGCAAAUAAAUUA